rnacentral:rRNA from 1 species
GAUGAACGCUGGCGGCGUGCCUUAUACAUGCAAGUCGAGCGAACGGGCGAGAAUCUUGCUUCCGGCAUGUUAGCGGCGGGCGGGUGAUUAACAGGUGGAUAACCUACCGAUAAGGCUGGCAUAACGUCGGGAAGACUGAUCUCAUACCGGAUCAUAUGUUGAACCCGGGGGAUCAAAAGUGCAAGCCGGUCUUGCUGGCACUUAUUGAUGGAUCCUCGCUGCAUUAGCUAGUUGGUAAGGUAACGGCUUACCAAGGCAACGAUGCGUAGUCGACCUGAGAGGACGAUCAGCCACACUGGGACUGAGACACGGUCCAGACUCCUACGGGAGGCAGCAGUAGGGAAUCUUCGGCAAAGGGCGCAAGCCUGACGCAGCAACGUCGCGUGAGUGAUGAAGGUCUUCGGAUCGUAAACCUCUGUUGUUAGGGAAGAAAAUAUGUGUAAGAAAAUGUGCGCAGCAUGACGGUACCUGAUCAGAAAGCACCGGCUAACUACGUG